rnacentral:rRNA from 1 species
GGAGGUUAUAAAGUUAAAUGUAUGGGAACCUGCUUUUUUUAUAGAGGUGAAAUUUGUAUAAGAAAGGUUAGUCUUUUGUUUUCUUUUUUUGAAGCCUCGAAAGUUUAGUGUAAGACCGGGAUUAGAUACCCCGUUAUUUAUUCUAUAAACUUUAAUUUAUUAUGAUUUACUUGGGUAUUACGGGCUGCAGUGAAUUUGUUAGUAGCUUGCAGAUGGCUUAAAACUCAAAAAACUUGGCGGUGCCUUAAUUCUUUCCGGGGGAACCUGUCCUUUAAUCGAUGGUCCACGAUUUAGCUUACCUUGUUUUGAAUACUAGUUUAUUAUUGGCUAGUACAGCUUGUAUACCGUCGUCGUCAGAUUACCUUUAAGAGAUGAGAAGUUGUCGGGAGGAGUAGGUUCUACGGUUUAUUUUAUUUAUAUAAAUAGACUAGGUUUUUAGUUCCAGAUGUCAGAUCAAGGUGCAGCUUAUGGCAAGGGAGAGAUGGGUUACAAUAGUUAUUUACUAAGACGGAUUUCGUUUUUGUAAUAAAUGAAUUGAAGGUGGACUCGGGAGUAAUAUAAAUUUUAAGUAGAUAGUUUUUGUGAAACUGGUGCUAAGGUGCGU